GAUGAACGCUGGCGGCGUGCCUAAUACAUGCAAGUCGAGCGAACAGAUGAGGAGCUUGCUCCUCUGACGUUAGCGGCGGACGGGUGAGUAACACGUGGAUAUCCUACCUAUAAGACUGGGAUAACUUCGGGAAACCGGAGCUAAUACCGGAUAAUAUAUUGAACCGCAUGGUUCAAUAGUGAAAGACGGUUUUGCUGUCACUUAUAGAUGGAUCCGCGCCGCAUUAGCUAGUUGGUAAGGUAACGGCUUACCAAGGCAACGAUGCGUAGCCGACCUGAGGGGGUGAUCGGCCACACUGGAACUGAGACACGGUCCAGACUCCUACGGGAGGCAGCAGUAGGGAAUCUUCCGCAAUGGGCGAAAGCUUGACGGAGCAACGCCGCGUGAGUGAUGAAGGUCUUCGGAUCGUAAAACUCUGUUAUUAGGGAAGAACAAAUGUGUAAGUAACUAUGCACGUCUUGACGGUACCUAAUCAGAAAGCCACGGCUAACUACGUG
rnacentral:rRNA from 1 species